rnacentral:rRNA from 1 species
AGUAACACGUGGAUAACCUACCUAUAAGACUGGGAUAACUUCGGGAAACCGGAGCUAAUACCGGAUAAUAUUUUGAACCGCAUGGUUCAAAAGUGAAAGACGGUCUUGCUGUCACUUAUAGAUGGAUCCGCGCUGCAUUAGCUAGUUGGUAAGGUAACGGCUUACCAAGGCAACGAUGCAUAGCCACCUGAGAGGGUGAUCGGCCACACUGGAACUGAGACACGGUCCAG